UACGAAGGGGGCUAGCGUUGUUCGGAAUUACUGGGCGUAAAGCGCGCGCAGGCGGUCCUUUAAGUCGGGGGUGAAAGCCCAGAGCUCAACUCUGGAACUGCCUUCGAAACUAGAGGACUUGGGUACGGGAGAGGUGAGUGGAAUUCCGAGUGUAGAGGUGAAAUUCGUAGAUAUUCGGAAGAACACCAGUGGCGAAGGCGGCUCACUGGCCCGUUACCGACGCUCAGGCGCGACAGCGUGGGGAGCGAACAGG
rnacentral:rRNA from 1 species